rnacentral:rRNA from 1 species
AAUCAACGCUGGCGGCGUGCCUCAGACAUGCAAGUCGAACGCGAAAGUUUCCUUCGGGAGACAAGUAGAGUGGCGCACGGGUGAGUAACACGUAGGUAAUCUACCUUUGGAUGGGGAAUAACAACCGGAAACGGUUGCUAAUACCGCAUAAUGCAGCGGCACCUAAUGGUGACAGUUGUUAAAGCGGGGGAUCGAAAGACCUCGCGUCUAAAGAGGAGCCUGCGGCGGAUUAGCUUGNGGUAAGGUAACGGCUUACCAAGGCUACGAUCUGUAUCCGGUCUAAGAGGACGGUCGGACACACUGACACUGAAUAACGGGUCAGACUCCUACGGGAGGCAGCAGUCGGGAAUUUUGGGCAAUGGGCGAAAGCCUGACCCAGCAACGCCGCGUGAAGGAUGAAGUAUUUCGGUAUGUAAACUUCGAAAGAAUAGGAAGAAUAAAUGACGGUACUAUUUAUAAGCUCCGGCUAACUACGUGCCAGCAGCCGCGGUAAG